GACGAACGCUGGCGGCGUGCUUAACACAUGCCAGUCGAACGGAAAGGCCCUGCUUUUGUGGGGUGCUCGAGUGGCGAACGGGUGAGUAACACGUGAGUAACCUGCCCUUGACUUUGGGAUAACUUCAGGAAACUGGGGCUACUACCAGAUAGGAGCUCCUGCUGCAUGGUGGGGGUUGGAAAGUUUCGGCGGUUGGGGAUGGACUCGCGGCUUAUCAGCUUGAUGGUGGGGUAGUGGCUUACACAGGCUUUGACGGGUCGCCGGCCUGAGAGGGUGACCGGCGACAUUGGGACUGAGAUACGGCCCAGACUCCAACGGGAGGCAGCAGUGGGGAAUAUUGCACAAUGGGCGGAAGCCUGAUGCAGCAACGCCGCGUGCGGGAUGACGGCCUUCGGGUUGUAAACCGCUUUCGCCUGUGACGAAGCGUGAGUGACGGUAAUGGGUAAAGAAGCACCGGCUAACUACGUG
rnacentral:rRNA from 1 species